CUUUCCACGCGGCUCUCAGCCCUCCUCCUUUGGUUCAGUCUGUGGGGAAAUCAGAAUUCAUCAUUGAAUCCUGUGGAUCAGCUCCCUUACAUAAUAAUAUUUCACUGUAUCAGCUACGAAGGGAAAAUCUGGAAGACAGAGGAUAGAGAGUGAGAGAAAGAGUGUGAGACUUGCGCCGCUCUCCAUUUCGAGGGGAUUUCGACGAUUCUGGGAGGCGAAUAAUAGGCUAGGAUUUGGAGGAGACACCGCCGCCCGACUCCUCAACACGCCGCCGACCGACUCCUCGACGCCGGCAUACCUCCUCCGCCGUACUGGCCUUCUCCCCGGUGGUAAGCCCUCGCCUCGCGUCUCCUCCUUUCUCCUCGUUGUCUAGAUUUCUUCCAUCCGCCUGGCCAUGGCUGCUGGCUCGUCCUCCCCGGCGAGCUCGCCGAGCACGCCGUCUCCCAGGACACCAAGGCCGUCACCAUGUUCACCUCCUCUUAGAUUCAGUCUCUGGCAACUGUAGUUGGGUGCUGUUUACCUAGAAUUGGUGUUGCUCAAUGGGAAUCGGUGGAAUAUUCUUUAGUUUGUAGUUAGGUUGCUGAUGUUACCGUGUCUGAUCGAUCUGAAAUAGCAAUAAUGUGGUGCAUCUUUUGGGAAGCCUCUGUUCUGAACUAGUUACUCGUUGUAUGGCUCGCAAUGAAACAUUGCCGCUGAAAACAAAUUUCAGUGGAACUGUCGACGUAGGUCUUGAUCCAAUUUCAUCGGCAUGCUGUAGAAAUUCUUUUGAUUAGAUGAUUGGCUGCCAACUGAAGUCAGGAGAUGUACCAGCUACAGAUUGCUGUACCAAUCAGUGGCAGAGCUAGCUAAUCAAUGGAGACGGGGCAAAAUACAAAGGGAUGUGGUUCAUGCGCAUUUUGCCCACUAAAACUGAUGAUUGGUUCUCCAUCUUCUUCUAUAAUCAAAUGGGAGUUUCUAGGCAGAGCCCGGGCAGCUGCCCAGGGUCGCCGGGAGGUGGCUCCGCCACUGGUACCAAUGAAAAGUUUUUAUUUGAUCAGACUUGUUAAGUUUUUACUGAAUUUUAAUCAGAUUGCUGUAACAGCUCCUUCUGUUCUUGUUAUGUGCUGCUUUGUUUUGAUUCGAUCUGUUGCGCAAGCUCGCGUUUCUCUGUAAAUCUCUGCAGACAAUGACUGUGAGCCGGCUGAGAUGUAAAUUCAGUGUUGAUAGUUGCCCUUUGUAUGUGUCCGUACGUGGUGAUAGCUUGAUAUAUGGCUGUUGAUUGCUCA